UGGGGAAUUUUGCACAAUGGGGGAAACCCUGAUGCAGCGACGCCGCGUGAUUUAGAAGGCCUUCGGGUUGUAAAAAUCUUUUGUAUGGGAAGAAAAUGACAGUACCAUACGAAUAAGGACCGGCUAAUUACGUGCCAGCAGCCGCGGUAAUACGUAAGGUCCGAGCGUUGUCCGGAAUCAUUGGGCGUAAAGGGUACGUAGGCGGAUAAGCAAGUUAGAAGUGAAAUCCUAUAGCUCAACUAUAGUAAGCUUUUAAAACUGCUCAUCUUGAGGUAUGGAAGGGAAAGUGGAAUUCCUAGUGUAGCGGUGAAAUGCGCAGAUAUUAGGAGGAAUACCGGUGGCGAAGGCGACUUUCUGGCCAUAUACUGACGCUGAGGUACGAAAGCGUGGGGAGCAAACAGG
rnacentral:rRNA from 1 species